UAGAUGCUUGUGUGGCGCAGACGUAAAUUGUGGAAGCCCAUUACUGAUGGGGCAGCAUGGUGGAUAGGAGAGUCAAGACUGACACACUCCGACACGUGUGUAGUAGCCGACUGCAUCAUUUCACCUGCACGAGGUGCCAUCAAUCAGCCAGCAGUAUUCGUAACUGCAUCAGUUAUGAGGUCCCAUCUGGCUCCCAACCUGUAUGAAAAACAGCCAAUCGUUGUUUAUGUAGGCACGCAGCCUGCCAAAUGGCAGAGCUGAGUGUCGAAAGAAAGUAUAGGUUGUUCGAAAUGUCAGCUCUGGUGUGCUAGCGUGUUUUACGUGCCACCUCAGUGCCAUCUAAAGCUAUGUUUUUAAUACUCAUGAAAAUAUACUGAAAAAAUGAAAUGAAAAAUAUAUGUAAUUUUAUUUAUAUUUUAUAUAUUUUAUUUAUUUAGUAUUACUGGGACAAUAAA